UGUCCAGCAUCAUGUGGAAGAGACUAUCAUUUCUCCAUUUAAUUUCCUUUUCACUAUUAGUGAAAAUAAGUGUAUGUGUCUAUUUCUAAAUUUUCUCUUCUUUCGCUUUGAUUUACUUAUUCAUCUUUAUUUCAGUUCUACAUUUUCUAGAAUAUUUCAGUUUUAAAACAAAUUUUGAAGUCAAGUAAAGUAAGUCCUCUAACUUUGCAUUUCAUUUUCCAAAGUCAUUUCAACUCUUCUAUAAUUUUAGACUCAUCUCAUCAAUUUGUAGAAGAAAAACUGUAGGAAUUUUUAUUGGAAUAGUAUUGAGUUUAUCAGUCAACUUGAGGCUAACAGACAUUGCAACAAUAUCAAGCCUUCUGAUCCACUGCACAGAGCUUCCUAUCCUACAUGAUUGUCUAUUGUAAUGCCAAAUUACAAGCAAUGGAGUCUCACUGUGUUGCCCAGGCUGGAGUGCUGUGGCAUGAUCUCAGCUCACUGCCAUCUCUGCCUCUUGAGUUCAAGCGAUUCUCCUGCCUCAGCUUCCCAAGUAGCUGGGAUUACAGGCGCACGCCACCACGCCCCGCUAGUUUUUGUAUUUUCAGUAGAGACGGGGUUUCACCAUGUUGGCCAGACUGGUCUGUAACUCCAGACUUCAGGUGAUCUGCCCACCUUGGCCUCCCAAAGUGCUGGGAUUACAGGCCUGAGCCACCAUGCCCAGCCAAUUUCCAUAUAUUUUUUAUACUGGGAUUUCAGAGAGUAAUUUCCUCUUCAUGUGUAACCAGUUAUGUGAAUUAAAACAGAUUCAGCCUUCUUUUACGGUUGUGAAAAACUGUAAUUCUUCCUCUCAAGUUCCCCCUUGGAAGGAGGGAUAUUUCAGGCUCAACAUUGUCCAGUCUGACCAUCGUUAGAGAGAAAGGCCUUAAAAUGUAUUUUCUAAAAGCUUUUCUAUAACUAAUCAACUUAAGUGUCAGUUGGGUGUCUGAGAUCUGUAAGACUUUGAGAUUAUUGCUCCAAAUUCCAUAGGACACUAAUCUCUUUCUUCUUAAUACUGUUUUUACUAAGAUUCAAGCAUAAGGGGCUUAUAUCCAAGGGGAUUUUUCCUAAGAAAAUGUAAAUAUAUAAAUAUAUGUACAGAAAUUAUUAAGAGUAGAAACAUUUGAGGAAUAGUGUGUCUAAUAGCAUAUACUCGGUGUUUUCCCCAUGAGUAAAUGAAAAAUGUUCAACAUAUAUGAAAAGAAUAAAGUGAAAAGUAAGAUCUUCAAAGAGGAUUAUUCGCUGCUGGAAAGUAAGUAAAAAGCAUCACAGAAGAGGCCAGACUCUCUGGCUCAUACCUGUAAUCUCAACAAUUUGGGGGGCCAAGGUAAGAGGAUCACUUGAGCCUAGGAGUAUGAGACCAGCCUGGGCAAUAUGGCAAGAUCUUCAAGACCUUGGCUCUACAUAAAAAAAAAAAAAAAAAAAAAAAAGCACGCUGAGCAUGCUCCUUGCUCCUCUGGUCCUAGGGAGACUGAGGUGGAAGGAUUGCUUGAGCCCAGGAAGUAGGGGCUGCAGCUGUGAUUGCAUCACUGCCCUUCAGCCUGGGAGACAGUGCAAGGCCUUGUCUCAAAAAAAAAAAAAAAAAAAAAAAAAAAAAAAUCAAGGAAGAGGACCCUUUUGCUUCAAAUAAGCAAAAAGAAAAGAAUAAAGUGAAUUUGUUUUCCUAUAUGGUAAUUGUGAAUUUUUCUAUUCCAUAAGGUAAUAGGGUCAUAAAUGCUGCUAGCUGAUGAGGCUGGGCCACUGCAACACUUAGGUGACAUAUCCAUUAGUUGCAGGUACUGCUAGAACCAGUGUUACUAGUACUGCCACCAUCUGCCAGUAACUGAGAACCAACACUCUUCCCAGUACUGCACCAAGAGGAACCUAAUGCAUAUUUCAUAAGCUUUCUAGGUAGAUAGAUGUCCAUGUUCCAUGGAGUGGUCCACCAUUUGCUAGCUCUAUGUCCUUGUGAUAUUCCUUUAUUUUCUCUACUUCUCACUUUUUCAUGUGUAAAAUGAGUCUCCUGGUGCUAUUCAUCUUAUAGGUUGUUUUCAGUACAGUUGGUCUCUGACAUACCAUGUUUUGACUUACAAUUUUUCAACUUUACAGUGGAUUUAUCAGGACAUAAGUCCAUCAUAAGUCAAAGAGCAUCUCUAUUAUGUAAAGUGUGUAUCACAAUGCCUAGAACACAAUAAGCUCUUGGUGAAGAGUUUUCUAUUAUUAUUCUUUUUAGUGUUUUCGUUAAUAUUGUUGUUAGUUUCUCUUUCUUACCUAUGAAAACUACAUGAGAGAUACAGGACUUUGGUGACUUGAAAAGCUAAAUCACUAAAUAAGUGUCAUCAUAAAGAAUGAUAUCCAGAGAAAGGAUUAUGAGAAGAUGGUAGAGUAGGAAGCACCAGGAAUCCAUCUACUCACCUACAUAAAAAUUACAGUGGAAGAAUCUGUUUGAUGUAAAUAUUUAGAACUAUUAAAGGCUUUCAACUUCCAGAAGAUUUUAGUUGUAUAUUGUGAUUAAUUUUGUUCAAUUGCAGCUCUCAGUGCAGUAGCAACUACCUGUCUAUCUGUAGCCACCGCCUCCCCAGCCUCCCACUCCCUACUCCUCACAGUCAUAGAGGAGGGCAUCCAUUGUCUGUUGCACCUGCCCCCAUUUGUUGAUUGUUGCAAGCCCCUCCCCUCUGGCUGAAGUGACUUCCUGGAGGUUUACAGGGCCAGUGAUUUUCAUUUUCACUUCAUGUUCUCUUUUUUCCUUUAUGAGAGUCAGACAUUGUUAAAGAUUAAGAUAUUAAAAAGCAACCACAUAUGUGCAGAAAUUAGAAAGCCACCACAAUUGCUCAAGGAAAGGUGCAGGCUCAGCAAAGACCUAAACAGCCUCAAAUUUAUACCUCAAGUUCAUCAUCAGCACAGAGAAAACCAGCAGCACAAUUAAAUUUUUAAAAAAGCAAACAUCAAAAAAAAAAAAAAACAUCCAAGUGAAAAAGAAUAAAAUUGGACCCGUAAUUAACACCAUAUAUAAAAAUUAACUCAAAAUUAAUGUAAGACCUAAAUAUAAGAUCAGAAGUGAUAAAAGUCUUAGAAGAAAGUGAAGCACAGGGCACAUCUUUAUGUUGAGAAUUCCUAAAACCCAAGAACAAAAACAAAAUAAAAUUUAUAAAUGAGGAAGAUACUUGAGUAGACAUUUCUCCAAAGAAGAUAUACAAAGGAUCAAGUAUUAGGGACAUUAGGCACAUGAUUAGGGAACAUCCCUAAUCAUUAGGGAAGUAGAAAUCAAAACUACAAUGGGAUACCCUCUCGCACCCAUUAGAACGGCUGCUAUCCGAAACAAAAACAGAUAAAAAGUGUUGGUGAGGAGGUGAACAAAUUACAAUACUUGUGCAUCGUUGGUAGGAAUAUAAAAUGGUACAACCACCGUGGAAGGCAGUAUGAUAGUUCCUCAAAAAAUUAAAAAUAGAAUUAACAUAAAAUCCAGGAGUUCCAGUUGAAGGUAUAUACUCAAAAGAAUUUGAAGAGAUAUUUUGAAGAGAUAUUUGUAGAAUUAUAUUCACAGUAACAUUAGCUAAUACGUAGAAUCAAACCAAGUGUCCAUUGACAGAUGGAUGAAUAAGUAAAAUAUGGUACAUCCAAUGGAAUAUUAUUUAGCUUUAAAGGAAGGAAAUUCUGGCAUGUUUACAAGAUGGAUGAACCUUAAGGACAUUAUUCUAUGUGAAAUGAGCUGGCACUAAAGGACAAAUGCUGUAUGAUUCCACUUGUGUGAGGUAUUUAGAGUAAUCAAAUUCAUAGAGACUGUGGGUAGCAAGCCACCCAGGUGCCGAGGCAAGAGACCGAAGGCACAAGCUGUUCCAGUAUAAUAAAAUAUAUAGAAUCAGAAUAGUUAUACUAGAAAUAGAUUAUAGAUAUGAUUAUGAAUAUUAUUAAUAAUUAGUUUGUAGCAUUACUCUUUACUCCAAUAUUAUAGUAAUAUUUCUUCUACAAUUAUAACCUAGGAAAAACCAGGCCAUGCAGAGAUAGGAGGUGAAGGGACACGGUGAGAAGUGACCAGAAGAUGAGUGUGAGCCCUCUGUUAUGCCCGGGCAGGGCCACUAGAGGGCUCCCUGGUCUAGCGGUAACACCAGUGCCCGAGAAGGCACCUGCUACUUAGCGGACCUUGGUCUAGGGAUAGCACCAGUGCCUGGGAAGGCACCCGUUACUUAGCAGACUGGGAAAGGGAGUCUCCCUUUCCCCGGGGGAGUUACAGAAGAAUCUGCUCCAUCACUUCUUGUGGAAGGCCUGACAUCGGUCAGGCCCACCCACAGCCAUCCGGAGGCCUAAACGUGUCUCUGUGAUGCUGUGCUUCAGCGGUCACGCUCCUGGUCCACUUUCAUGUUCUGCCCUGUACACCUGGCUCUGCCUUCUAGAUAGUAGUAGCAGAAUUAGUGAAAGUAUUAAAGUAUUUGAUCUUUCCGAGAAAUACAUAAAAGAAAUAAUGAUGUAAGCUGUCCCCUCUCUCCACCUUGGCUACCAAAUAGGGAAGGGACCCCUGUCUGGUAGACACGUGACUCGCAUGACCUUACCCAUCAUUGGAGAUAACUCACAUUCCUUACCCUCUUGCCUUGUAUACAAUAAAUAACAGCGCGGCCAGGCAUUCGGGGCCACUACCGGCCUCCGUGCCUUGGUGGUAGUGGUCCCCCGGGCCCAGCUGUCUUUUCUUCUAUCUCUUUGUCUUGUGUCUUUAUUUCUAUGAUCUCUCGUCUCCAUACACGAAGAGAAAAACCCACAGGUCCUGUAGGACUGGACCCUACAGAGACAGAAAGUAGAAUGGUAGCUUUCCAGGGCUAUGGGAAUGGGGAAAUCGGGAGUUAUUGUUCAAUGAA
rnacentral:lncRNA from 1 species